GGGAUGAACCGGAAGCCGGGUUACGGUGCCCAACUGCGCGCUAACCUAGAACCCACAAAGGGUGUUGGUCGAUUAAGACAGCAGGACGGUGGUCAUGGAAGUCGAAAUCCGCUAAGGAGUGUGUAACAACUCACCGGCCGAAUCAACUAGCCCCGAAAAUGGAUGGCGCUGAAGCGCGCGACCCACACCCGGCCAUCUGGGCGAGCG
rnacentral:ncRNA from 1 species